rnacentral:rRNA from 1 species
AUACGGAGGAUGCGAGCGUUAUCCGGAUUUAUUGGGUUUAAAGGGUGCGUAGGCUGUUUUCCAAGUCAGCGGUGAAAUGCCGGGGCUCAACCCCGGAACUGCCAUUGAUACUGGGAGGCUUGAAUGCGGAUGCCGUGGGAGGAAUGAGUAGUGUAGCGGUGAAAUGCAUAGAUAUUACUCAGAACACCGAUUGCGAAGGCAGCUCACGAAUCCGCUAUUGACGCUGAGGCACGAAAGCGUGGGGAUCAAACAGGAUUAGAUACCCUGGUAGUCCACGCAGUAAACGAUGAUAACUAACUGCCGGCGAUAGAGUGUCGGUGGCCAAGCGAAAGCGAUAAGUUAUCCACCUGGGGAGUACGACCGCAAGGUUGAAACUCAAAGGAAUUGACGGGG